ensembl:lncRNA
AGUAAGUGUGUGUGUGUGUGUGAGAGUGUGAGAGUGUGUGAGAGUGUGUGUGAGUGUGUGUGAGAGUGUGUGUGUGUGUGAGAGUGUGAGAGUGUGUGUGAGUGUGUGUGAGUGUGUGUGAGUGUGUGUGAGAGUGUGUGUGUGUGAGUGUGUGUGUGUGUGUGGUGUGAGUGUGUGUGAGAGUGUGUGUGUGUGAGAGUGUGUGUGUGAGUGUGUGUGUGAGUGUGUGUGUGAGUGUGUGUGUGAGUGUGUGUGAGAGUGUGUGUGAGUGAGAGUGUGUGUGAGUGAGAGUGUGUGAGUGAGAGUGUGUGAGUGUGUGUGUGUGUGUGUGAAGAGUGUGUGUGAGAGUGUGUGUGAGGUGUGUGUGUGAGAGUGUGUGUGAGAGUGUGUGAGAGUGUGUGAGUGUGUGAGAGUGUGUGAGAGUGUGUGAGAGUGUGUGUGAGAGAGUGUGAGAGAGUGUGUGAGAGAGUGUGUGUGUGAGUGUGUGUGAGAGUGUGUGUGAGAGUGUGUGUGAGAGUGUGUGUGAGAGUGUGUGAGAGUGUGUGAGUGUGUGAGAGUGUGUGAGAGUGGUGUGAGAGUGUGUGUGAGAGAGUGUGAGAGAGUGUGUGAGAGAGUGUGUGUGAGUGUGUGUGUGAGUGUGUGUGAGAGUGUGUGUGAGUGUGUGAGAGAGUGUGUGAGAGAGUGUGUGUGAGUGUGUGUGAGAGUGUGUGAGUGUGUGUGAGUGUGUGUGUGUGUGUGUGUGUGAGAGUGUGUGUGAGAGUGUGUGUGUGAGAGUGUGUGUGAGAGUGUGUGAGAGUGUGUGAGUGUGUGAGAGUGUGUGAGAGUGUGUGAGAGUGUGUGAGAGUGUGUGUAAGAGAGUGUGAGAGAGUGUGUGAGAGAGUGUGUUGUGAGUGUGUGUGAGAGUGUGUGUGAGAGUGUGUGUGUGAGAGUGUGUGUGAGAGUGUGUGUGAGAGUGUGUGAGAGUGUGUGUGAGAGUGUGUGAGAGUGUGUGA